GACGAACGCUGGCGGCGUGCUUAACACAUGCAAGUCGAACGGAAAGGCCCUGCUUUUGUGGGGUGCUCGAGUGGCGAACGGGUGAGUAACACGUGAGUAACCUGCCCUUGACUUUGGGAUAACUUCAGGAAACUGGGGCUAAUACCGGAUAGGAGCUCCUGCUGCAUGGUGGGGGUUGGAAAGUUUCGGCGGUUGGGGAUGGACUCGCGGCUUAUCAGCUUGUUGGUGGGGUAGUGGCUUACCAAGGCUUUGACGGGUAGCCGGCCUGAGAGGGUGACCGGCCAAAUUGGGACUGAGAUACGGCCCAGAGUCCUACGGGAGGCAGAAGUGGGGAAUAUUGCACAAUGGGCGGAAGCCUGAUGCAGCAACGCCGCGUGAGGGAUGACGGCCUUCGGGUUGUAAACCGCUUUCGCCUGUGACGAAGCGUGAGUGACGGUAAUGGGUAAAGAAGCACCGGCUAACUACGUG
rnacentral:rRNA from 1 species